rfam:Ictidomys tridecemlineatus contig038621, whole genome shotgun sequence.
UGGGGUCUGGCUCAGCGGUAGAGCACUUGCCUAGCAGUGUGAGGCCCUGGGUUGGAUUCCCAGCACCGCAU